ACGGAAGCCGUGUCCUUCAUUGUGUAGGGCCUCCUUGGAUUCGCCGUGCAUGGUGUCAACUACAGUUUAUGAACGUCUCUGCGAACAAAGGCUCUGCGAUGUACCUUCGGCGUUGAUAUGGCACCUCCUAUCUCAUCGUCAUCUCCAGACGCAACCCUGCUCCUAUCGACCUCACUUGAACACGGCGCUGUGACGUCAUCAGUAGUCGCUCGUGUAAAAGAAGCGCCACAGGAAUUUUCCUUCCGUGGGCACGCCGGACCAGGAACUGCCAUAGCACUGACGGAAGCCGUGUUCUUCAUUGUGCAGAAUCUCGCCUUCAAGAAAAUAAGCGAUUCAACGACCUCCUUCACAAGGUCCCAAGGAACCUGCAGAACGUCUUUGACAGCUGCUAAUACUAUUACAUUAAGGAGAUUGCGCCGCGAAUGCGCUGGCUCACCUAGCGCGAUGGACGCCGGUGUUCUUGCAAGAGAUGCUUACCUUUACGUGGUCCUCCAUGGAAGUCUUGCCGUAACCAAGAUUCCGGAGGACGUGAAGACAGAACCUCCGGUUGUGUUCCCACAGUUCGCCGUU